GUGACACCGAAACUGAACGACAAACUUGUUGUUUUUAAGAAUUUAGACGUUUAAUGCGGCACAGCUAAGCCGGUAAAGAAGUGUUGGAUCAUUUAGAGAAGAAGAAGAAAGAAGAAAAAGCCAUCUGGUGCAGAUGGCUUUCUCAGUCAUGGCAUGAGGUGAAGAGACGGUGGGCGACGAGACUGAAGACGACGGACACGACACUUCUUCCAAAAGGAGUGUGUGAGGUUUGCAGUUUUGCGGCAUGGUGAGCAGCAGGAGAGAGAGUGCAGGCGCGUCGGGCGGAGAGUCGC